AGGUGGUCUGUCUUGCUGUCCUCUGGGCGGUCAUGUCUACUGUGGCAUCGCUGGCUUUCCCGUUUGUUCUCAUCAUGACCGUCCCUGUCAAGAUGUUUCUUCUGCCACGCAUCUUCAGCACUCGUGAGAUGCAGUGUUUGGACGCUGAUAAUGCAGAGCCCACUUUUGAUGAGAAAGAGGGACACGACGAAUACACGGAGAUGCACAUGCCAGUCUGAGCCUCGACCGCAGCUGUCCGUCUCUCGCCUGUCUUCCUAUCAGUCACGCUAUUGGCCAAUAGGACAGUUGCUUUCGCUAAACCAAAUCGCACAGCGAGUCUCGACAUGCUGUAGAGGUGAGAAUAGUGCAUUAUGUCCACCCGGCAUUUCCAGAGACUCAUUUCAUUUGUAUUAGAGAGCUGCUAUCACACCGUUUAGCCUUAAACAAGCGUAUUUGUCGCCUAUGAGGAAAACGAAUGUAGCUUAUGGUACGUUCCUAGCACCAUUCAGGGCCCAUGCAAUAUUAUAUGAAGUUUUUAGUGAAUAUUCAUGAUCAAGAAAGAUUGCCAAGGUCCAUUUCAUCUGAAAUUGUAUGUACGUCUGUGCUUUUAAUAGUUUUACUGCCUUAUUUUCUGAUUUAUGACCCAGCA